rnacentral:lncRNA from 1 species
ACAAAGAAAGAAAGAACUCCAAACACUCCACUAAUGGCAGAUUGCAUGUGCAAGGUGUCUUCCUCCUUUGGAAUGCACGGCACUACUUCUUCCUCCUCCAAUGGUGGCUGCACAAGGUGGUGAUGGUGGUGGGAAGGCACGGCAAGGGUGGAUUGUGGCAGAAAUAUGGGAAUUUGGGGGUGGAAGGUUGCGGCAGGGAUGGAAUUAAGGUUUCUGGCGUGAAUGAAUGAUAUGGGGGGUGAUAGGGGCACGGCAAGGCUUGGGGAUGGUGUAUGGGUGUUGUGUGGAAGGUGUGGAGAUGAAGAAUGGUGGUAGAAAUCGGCUGGAAUGAAGGAAAGGUGCGGCAAGAUGGGAAAUAGGGUUUUGGACGAAUUUCUGAAUAUGGAGAGGGUGGUGUUCGGCCAAGGGAGGUAAAACACAUAUAUAUAGGCAGCCAAACCCUAAAGAAAUCAGGUUAGACAAAUGGGCUAGGGUUUAGGUGCGGCUAGGGUUAGGAAAUCCACCAAAAACUAGGGUUUCUAGAACAUUAGGUGCGGCAUGGGCUUAGGGUAAGUAAUCAGAUUUUUUUCAUGUGAACAAGGCCUAGGUGCGGAUGAUUAAGUGGGCUAGGGCUAGGGUUAGGUGCGGCAUAGGUCCAAGAGGCAAAGAUGGGUCAUCUAAAAGCCCAAAGCCGAGAAUAGAAACUCUCGAAAUUGGAAACCUCCAAGAAUAGAAACUUCCAACUUUAGAAACUUUGGUUUCCAAUUCCGAAAAACAGACCAAAACAGCAAGAAUCAAAACACAUUAAAACACACCAAAACAGCCUAAAAACACCUAAAAACAGCAAGAAACAACAUUGGAAAUUAUGAGUGAGAAAACCCUUCAAAUUUGCAUCAAAACACUUUGGUUAAUCCCCCACACUUAAACCAAACAUUGUCCUCAAUGUUUCAAGCAUAGACUCACACAAAAACACAUAAACAAACAAACCAAUACUAACAAAUUAAACAUGGCAGAAACGAAAGAAACAACAAAGAGAAGGGUUUAGAAACGCAAAUCUGGAAUUGGAGUGCUCUCUAGGUCUUCCUUUGUCAAAUGCAUGGGUUGCCUCCCACGAAGCGCUUGCUUUAACGUCUUCCAGCCGGACGGUACCUCCGUUUAAGCUUGACUAUGUGCCACGGCAUGGAAGGGUACCUCUUCCACGACAUGCUCCUCAAACAUCUCGUAAUAGGGCUUCAAUCGAUGCCCGUUCACCUUGAAUUCUUGCUGCGUCCUUGCACUCUUGAUUUGCACUGCACCAUGAGGGAAAACAUUAGUUACAAUAAAAGGACCAACCCAUUUGGAACGCAACUUACCUGGAAACAACCGAAGGCGAGAAUUGAACAACAACACUUUCUGCCCUAUAGAGAACGUCUUGGCACGAAUCAUCUUGUCAUGGAAUGCCUUCGUUUUCUCCUUGUAAAUCCGGGCAUUCUCAUAUGCUUCAUUUCGAAUUUCCUCAAGCUCACACAAUUGGAGCUUCCUAUGUAAACCUGCGGCAUCAAGGUCCAUGUUAAACGUUUUGACGGCCCAGUGUGCACGAUGCUCUAACUCGACGGGAAGAUGGCAUGGCUUCCCAUAGAUGAGCCGAAAAGGUGACAUCCCAAUGGGGGUUUUGUAGGCAGUGCGAUACGCCCACAAUGCAUCGUUUAAGCGCAAACUCCAAUCCUUCCUCGUAGGCCCCACGGUCUUCUCAAGAAUUUGCUUGAUUUCCCUAUUCGAAACCUUGGCUAGCCCGCUCGUCUGAGGAUGAUAAGGUGUGGCCACCUUAUGCGUGACAUUGUAUUUCUUGAGCAACGCCUCGAUGGUUCGAUUACAAAAAUGGGAACCUCCAUCACUGAUGAGCACGCGUGGCAUUCCGAACCUUGCAAAAAUGUUAGUUUUCACAAAAUCUGCAACCACUCGAGAAUCAUUAGUUCGGGUGGCUUUUGCUUCCACCCACUUCGACACAUAAUCCACAGCAAGUAAUAUAUAAAGAAAUCCAUGUGACGAAGGAAAGGGACCCAUAAAAUCAAUACCCCAAACAUCAAAUAUUUCAACACUAAAAAUGGGGGUUUGCGGCAUUUGUUGUUUAGGACCUAUAUUGCCCGUUCUUUGGCAUCUAUCACAAGACAUGCAAAAUGUUCUAGCAUCCCUAAAGAUGGUAGGCCAAUAGAAACCACAUUCUAAUACCUUAAGUGCUGUUCUAUUAGUGCCAAAGUGUCCCCCACAAGCAUAAGUGUGACAAAAUAUUAGAAUAGCAUUAAACUCAGAAUCGUGCACACACCUACGUAUAACUUGGUCAGGGCAAUAUUUCCAUAAAUACGGGUCAUCCCACACAUAAAACCGUGCCUCUUUCUUCAAUUUAUCACCUUGGUGUUUAAGUAAUUCACUAGGAACAUGUUUAGACACCAAAUAAUUCACCAAAUCAGCAUACCAUGGUUCACUUACCUUGAUGGACAUCAGUUGCUCAUCUGGGAAUGUCUCUAUGAUAGGCACGGCAUCCUCCUCAUGUACCAUACGGCUCAAGUGGUCAGCCACCACGUUUUCACUUCCCUUCUUGUCCCGGAUUUCGAUAUCGAACUCUUGGAGAAGAAGCAUCCAACGAAUGAGUCGUGGUUUGGCCUCCUUCUUGGUGAACAAAUACUUCAAUGCUGCAUGGUCAGUAUAAAUAAUAACUUUAGUACCAAGCAAAUAAGAACGGAAUUUAUCUAAAGCAAAUACAACAGCUAGAAGUUCUUUUUCAGUGGUGGAAUAAUUCAAUUGUGCAUCAUUUAAAGUCCGAGAGGCAUAACAGAUAGCAUGCGGCCUCUUGUCCUUCCUUUGCCCCAAAACAGCUCCUAAUGCAUAUCGGAAGCGUCGCACAUGAGCUCAAAAGGAAGGCUCCAAUCCGGUGGAACUAUGAUAGGGGCCGAAGUUAGCAUGUCCUUUAGGUGAUUGAACGCCUUCUCACACUCCUUGUUGAAGUCAAACGCCACAUCUUUCUGGAAGAGACGGCAAAGAGGGUUUGAGAUCUUGGAGAAGUCCUUGAUAAAUCGCCUAUAAAAUCCUGCAUGACCAAGAAACGAACGAACCUCUCGAACCGAAGUAGGAGAGGGUAAGUAGCGUACAAGAUCUAUUUUCGAUUUAUCCACUUCAAUUCCUCUUUCUGAAACAAUAUGCCCUAGAACUAUGCCUUGUCUAACCAUAAAGUGACAUUUUUCCCAAUUAAGCACUAGGUUAGUUUCUACACAUCGUUUCAAAAUUAUUGUGAGAUUGUCCAAACAUCCAUCAAAUGAAUCACCAAACACACUGAAAUCAUCCAUAAAUACCUCAAUAAUCUUUUCCACAAAAUCUGAAAAGAUACUUACCAUACACCUUUGAAAUGUGGCCGGAGCAUUGCAUAAACCAAAAGGCAUGCGACGAUAAGUAAAAGUACCAAAGGGGCAUGUGAAAGUUGUCUUUUCUUGGUCAUCCGGCGCUAUGACAAUCUGAUUAUAUCCAGAAUAACCAUCAAGGAAACAAUAAAAAGAAUGACCGGCUAAACCUUUCAAGCAUUUGAUCAAUGAACGGCAAAGGGAAGUGGUCCUUCCUUGUGGUGGCGUUGAGCUUCCUAUAAUCAAUGCACACUCGCCAACCUGUUUGGAUACGGGUUGGCACAAGCUCAUUCUCGGCAUUCUUCACCACGGUCACUCCGGACUUCUUUGGAACACAUUGCACCGGUGACACCCAACGACUAUCAGAGAUUGGAUAAAUCACUCCACAAUCAAGAAGUUUGAUAAUCUCCUUUUUCACAACUUCCAUCAUUGGAGGGUUGAGACGGCGCUGAGCCUCUCGAGUUGGUUUAGCCCCCUCCUCUAGAAGUAUGCGAUGCAUGCACGUAGUUGGGCUAAUUCCCCUAAUAUCGGCCAAAGUCCACCCAAUGGCCGUCUUGUGCUCUUUCAACACUCGGAUCAACUUCUCCUCCUCUAUGGCCGUGAGUGAUGAAGAGACAAUGACGGGCAAUGUCUCGUUGUCUCCCAGAAAAACGUACUUUAAAUGAUCGGGUAACGGUUUAAGCUCAAGUACGGGUGCCUGAAUCACUGAGGGUAACAUCUUAUUAGUGGAAACUGGAAUUGAAAUUGGGUUAGAAGGCUUACCAUGGUGUUGAGGGAGUGACUCAAGGGGCAGCCACUAUCUCGGCCUCAUCCUCACUUCUAGGCACGGCAACACCAUUUUUGUGCCCAAUUCCUUGUGCAAUUGUCGUUUCAAGUGUAUCCCUCUCCAAACAAUCGAGAAAAUCCUGCGUCAAAUCAUCAAUUAUAUCAAUAGAAAAGCAAGAAUGAUCGUCCUUAGGAAAUUUAAUACUUUCAGAAAGAUUAAAAUCAAUGACUUCCCCAUCAAAUUCCAUCGUUAAAGUUCCUUUAAACACAUCUAUCUUGGUGCGGGCUGUUUUCAUGAAGGGCCUCCCUAAUAGAAUCGGCAAUGGGGUAGAAUGGGGUGAAUCCUCCAUGUCAAGCACGUAAAAGUCCGCUGGAAAAAUCAAAUUUACCAACCUGCACCAAAACAUCUUCCAAAACACCCUUUGGGUAUGCAUUAGAACGAUCGGCUAAUUGAAUUAUCACACCAUCAUUUUUAAGCUCACCUAAGUUUCAUAGAUGCAUAAAUUGAGUAUGGCAUAGCAUUAAUCGAAGCCCCUAAGUCUAACAUGCAUUGUUCAAACUUAGUAUUACCAAUAACGCAUGGAAUUGUAAAAACUACCCGGAUCUUUGCAUUUAGGGGGUAAUUUCCUUUGUAACACAGCAGAGACGUUUUCACUUACCUGGACCACCUCUUUGUUCGAAAUCCUUCUCCUUGUUGUACAAAGUUCUUUUAAGAACUUAGCAUACCUCGGGACUUGCUUAAUCGCAUCAAGGAGCGGGAUAUUGACUUGAACUUUCCGAAAGGUCUCUAGAAUGUCCUUCUCGGCUUCUUCCUUCUUUGAUUGCCUAAACCUGCCAGGAAAGGGCACAUUCAGUGGAAUAGAACUAGAAAAAGUCGAAUUUGGACUUACCUUGGUGGUUGAGGACGAUUUAGGAGGGUUAAAGGGUGGCGGCAAGGUUUGGUCAUCCUUGGCCGUGGGCUCUGCUCCCUGUGCUUCUUCUUGCAGCAACUUGUCCUCCUCGUCUUGACUUGAUUUGGAUGUAUUUGAGUCCGUUCCAACCUGUUUACCACUUCUCAACAUGAUGGCCUUAGCGGUUUCAAAUCCUCCCUUCGGGUUCACAACGGUUGAACUAGGCAAUCUGCCUUGUUCUCUAAUUUGCCCCAUGAAUUCGGCAAUUUGACCCAUUUGCUUCUCCAAAUUAUCCACCCGUUUGUCUUGGAUUUGUCUCUCCUUAUUUUGAGUUUGUACUUCCUGCAUCAAAGUAGUAAGUAACUUAACAACUUGAUCAUUAUCCAAAGACGUACCUGAGGUUGGUGGGGCAGAUUGCACUUGGUUUUGAUUGGGGACGAAUGGCUUUGUAUAAAAGCCCGGUGGUUGCUGCCUAAAUCCUCCUUGUUGUUGGGGUUGUUGAGGAUCCCGCCAUUUGAAAUUCGGAUGGUCCCUCCACCCCGGAUUGUAGGAAUUAGAGUAUGGAUCAUGGCGUGGUUGAUUUUGGUUCCCAAAACCAACGGCAUUGGCAGCUUCCCAACCCCCAUUCUCAAUCAAUUGAGGGCAUUGAUCAUUGGCAUGUCCUUGCACCGAGCACACGCCACACACACUUGGUCCAUGAAUCUUCAUUCCCUCGGCUAACUGAGAAACAAUAGAAGUAAGGUUAGCUAAUUGGGAUUGAAUCUCGGGCAUAGAACUUACCUCAUUCACUUGUGGCCGUGGGGGGUCCCUUUGUCCAACACCUUCGUAUUGUUGUGCGUUAUGUGCUCGGUUGGCAAUUAGAACUUUUGCAGCCCCCGGAGUCUUAUCCACCAACGCUCCUCCCGCCGAGGCAUCAAGCAUUUUGGCGUUCCAUGGGAAGGGAGUCCUUCGUAGAAGUAUUGAAUGAGUAGCUCCUCCUUCAUUUGAUGCUGUGGACAAGAAGCAACAAGUGAUUUAAAACGUUCAUAAUAAGAAGGAAACGAUUCACCUGGGUUUUGUUGGAUGCCACUAAUCCGUUUCCUCAAGAGAAUGACUCUUGACGUUGGGAAAAACUUCUCCAAGAACGCUCUUUUUCAUACUAUCCCAAGAUGUAACCGUUCCGGGUGCUAACUCGUAAAGCCAAUCUUUCGCCUUUUCCAAAAGUGAGAAUGGAAAAGCCUUCAUCAUCAAAAUACUCCCGUCAACAUUGAUAGGUGUCAUGCUCGAACAAACAACCUCGAACUCCUUGAGAUGCUUGUUGGGAUCUUCCAUGGAAAGCCCAUGGUAUUUCGGAAUGUGGUGCAACAAGCUUGACUUCAACUCGAAUUCAUCGGUCUUGCCUUGGACAGCCGCGGGGUAUUGAAUGCAUAAUGGUGCGGCAUUGGUCAACCCCGAGGCCGAAAGCUCUUUAAUGGUCCGAUUGUCCACUGCCAUAACUUCUUCUUCCACUUCUUCAAACUCAGAUUCGGCCUCUGAACUUGAACUAGGUUCACUAGGUUCGGGAUGCCUCCUCUUUCUUCUCAAAUCACGUUCAAACUCGUCGUUGAAAUCCAAUAUGUGUGCGUGCACGGUUUGAGAGCUCCACGUCAUGCACUAGUACCUAAACCAAGAAAACAAAACAAAAUAAGAAACUAAGUAAUUUAUACUAAAACACACGGCAAUAACACAAGGGAUUAGCAAUUUUGCUAAUCCCCGGCAACGGCGCCAAAAUUUGAUGUGAAAAUUAUGUUGACACACAAAUUAAACCCUAUGGAUGACAAUUGUAGUAUAUGAGCAAAUAGGGAUCGUUCUAACCGGGGAUUAACUAGGGAUGCUAAUCAAUGUAAAACUGACUCAAGAACAUAAAAAAUAUAAUGUAGAACACUAAACUAGACUCAAUUAAUGCAAAACUAGGGUUUAAAACACCUAAACAAACUAAAAAACUCAAAACAGCAACUAAAAAGGCUCAAAACUGCCUUAAAACCACUUUCUGGGCAGUUUUUGAGUACCUAACACUAGUUUGGACGAAUUUGGACUAUGACUUGACUCAAAACACUUAAAAACACAACUAAAUGGAUUUCUAACUAAUCUAACACUUAAAAAAUAAAUGGGGGAAUGAUUUUGACGAAAUCGAAAUUAAAACAGAGACUUGUAAACAAACUUCAAAACAAAACAGAUUGUGAUGAAAUAGAAUGGUGAGAAGCUAGUUAGAGGGUUCCUUAUCCACACAUGAACAUAUGCAUACAACUCGAUCUCCAAUUACUCUUUCAACAAACCAUGAAUGACAAUGCCCCAAAUUAACUAGAUUGCACCAAUUAAUUCUCAGAUUUCCCUAGAUUCAUUGAAUUGAAUGGAAUACGAAUUACAACCAAAUUUAUUCUUAUCAAGGACCCUAACUAUGGAAUACGCAUGAUAGAGACACAUAUCAAAAAAGAUCAUUAAGUUUAAUGGAAAUCAUAAGCAUUGACGAGGCAUUCAUAACUAUGGGAUACGCAUGUUAUUCUUGCCUAGGAUUUACUUAACACAAUCGUGACUAGCGACUUUCACUACUUAUGAAUACAAGUUAAUAACGAUUAGGUGAAAUUCCCUUAUAUCCUAGCAUCAAGUUUAGGCAUGCAAAUUAAGUGUCGACCCUCAACCCACAUACAUAAACAAGUUAUCAAUCAAAUCGAUAAGUAAAUUCACAUUCACAAUUUCUGAAAUCAUAAUUGGAAGAAAUCAAAUCAUAUAAAACAUAUGUCCAUGGCUUCAAAUUCACCUCUAACUAUAAAGAAAUUAGUUCCACAUGUCUAACAUAAUUGAACAACAAUUUAAAUUAAACAUGAAAACAGAAACAAAGAAAGAAAGAACUCCAAACACUCCACUAAUGGCAGAUUGCAUGUGCAAGGUGUCUUCCUCCUUUGGAAUGCACGGCACUACUUCUUCCUCCUCCAAUGGUGGCUGCACAAGGUGGUGAUGGUGGUGGGAAGGCACGGCAAGGGUGGAUUGUGGCAGAAAUAUGGGGAAUUUGGGGUGGAAGGUUGCGGCAGGGAUGGAAUUAAGGUUUCUGGCGUGAAUGAAUGAUAUGGGGGGUGAUAGGGGCACGGCAAGGCUUGGGGAUGGUGUAUGGGUGUUGUGUGGAAGGUGUGGAGAUGAAGAAUUGGUGGUAGAAAUCGGCUGGAAUGAAGGAAAGGUGCGGCAAGAUGGGAAAUAGGGUUUUGGACGAAUUUCUGAAUAUGGAGAGGGUGGUGUUCGGCCAAGGGAGGUAAAACACAUAUAUAUAGGCAGCCAAACCCUAAAGAAAUCAGGUUAGACAAAUGGGCUAGGGUUUAGGUGCGGCUAGGGUUAGGAAAUCCACCAAAAACUAGGGUUUCUAGAACAUUAGGUGUGGCAUGGGCUUAGGGUAAGUAAUCAGAUUUUUUUCAUGUGAACAAGGCCUAGGUGCGGAUGAUUAAGUGGGCUAGGGUUAGGGUUAGGUGCGGCAUAGGUCCAAG